rnacentral:lncRNA from 1 species
AUGACCUUGGUGCAGCCCAUGGUGACGUGGCCUGUCUUUCAACGCCGCAGUUCUGCCACUAGAAGAGAAACUGGCUGGGAUUUUGCCCAGGGAAAGGACAGCUUGGGUCGGAUCACCCUCCUGGCACCUGUCAGCCAUGACCAGCGUGUGUGUGCCUGUGGAAGAGUCCCAGGGUAUCGAGGCAGUCAAACUCACCAAGGGAGAGAGGAAACUUUGAGAAAACAGUUCCACUAUCCACGGAAACCAGCGACGGCCAGAUGGGCCCCUCCACCAAAUUCUAACCCAUGGUUUUUACUUACCUAUGAAAGCUGAUCGUGUCGGAUCAUAAAUUCCUAGUUCACUGAAGUUAAAAAGUGUCUUUCUCAUAAAAAGGCCCAUAAAGGGUAGUGUUUAAGUGGGGCUAAUAAUAGUGGCACCUCAUAGAACUCCCGUGGGGAUUAAAUGACGGAAUUCAGGUACAAACCGUGUGCCGGGCACACAGCAAGCUGGCUGUCAUUAUGCACGCGAGGAGAGCCCUUCUGAAGGUGUUCACCUAAAGUCUCCAUCAUUUCCUGGCAUGCAUGGUGACUCCCUGAGGGCCGCAGAAGCAGGGUGUCUGGUAGGGGCACAGAUCUGCAUGUGUGUACCUGUUUGUGUGGGGUGGGGAGGUGGGUGUCCCAUGCAGGAUGGGAUUUGCUGCCCCUCCCCUAAAUCUUCCAUCCCUAACUGACAUAAAAGUGAAUUUGUUUCCUGAGAAUCUUGUUUCCUCGGAGAAGAUCUGCUGUUCCUGGGAAGUGGUUCAUUUCAUCAAACCCCAAAAUGAUUUCAGCUGUCUCAUGGAAUAGGCGUGUCCCAUCGUCAGCCCUGUGGCCACCUCUCUGGCACUUCCGGGAAACACAGACAGCCUGCUGCGUGGGGCAGCUCCGUCCCAGCCCAGUUCCUUCCAGACCAUCCCGACCUGUGGACCGCAGGCUCCCCGAUCCCUUGCGGUGACCCCCAGUGCCGCUACAAACCCCGCUUGCCCAAGAAGGGCUGUGCAAAGGAGGCAUAUGGUUUUUAUAACUGACAAGACGUGUGGAUUCAUUGCAACGGCCAGAACUGGCAUGCAAGUGAACGCGGCACAAGAGGAGCUUGGCUGUGGCCGUGCCGGCUGCCGGGGGCCACCAGCAGGUCCCCUCGCUUCUCCCGCAUAGCUGCCUCGUCUCUGAAGUGGAAAUGCUGUGGAUCUGGAGCCAUCAAGGAGACCAGGGCCGUGAAUGGCCUUUGCACGUUGACACGCU